UCUAGAAAAAGUAGUAUAAUUCCUCUUAUGGAGCGUUUCUAUGAUCUUACCUUAGGUGAAGUUCUAUUGGAUGGGGAGAUAUAAAACAUCUGAAGUUGGAAUGGUUGAGAAGCCAAAUUGGACUAGUUACCCAGGAACCAACUUUGUUAAGUUUGAGCAUCAAGGAUAAUAUAGCUUAUGGAAGAUCUGCUACAUCUAAUCAGAUUGAAGAAGCUGCUAAAACAAUUCAUGCACAUGAUUUCAUAACUUCUCUUGAAAUGGGAUACGAAACUCAGGUUGGUAGGACUGGUUUA